AUGUACUGGUUUUCUUUCAAUCUCAGGACUGCUGUGAAAAGCAGUAUCAAGCUUUUGGAGCUGGACCAGCUCCAAGGAAUGACAGGGCCAGAAGGUGAAUCUAUUCUGGACAAUAAGGAGGGAUUUGUAGAGGAAAUAAGGUAUCAGGAGAUAGUGAGAGAUGGAUGGAUUUACUUGACCCAAAGAGAAAAAGCUGCUCUGCCCAAAUCAAAUUUCUGAUGACAGCAACAGGAUCAAAAAUUUGACUCAGACAGCAGAAAUGGUAAUGUGAACUGCUUCCUAUCUACAGCGAAGCUAUGAAAACAGAAUUCAAGUGUAGAAGGUCAGUUACAAACUUAUAACACAAUUUACAAACAUGGUCUUACUGGGGAAAAGAAACACUGGAACUCAGCCUCAGAGGAGAAGAAAUACUAUAGAAAUGCUCCAUACCCAGAACUGCAAAGGCUUCAGGCUUGAUUUGGAUUUUAUAGUAUAGGUUAUUUAUCUUGAAUCGUAGUUCCUACAGCUAUUUUUCAUCUGAAAAUCUCAGUUUUCAUUAAGAGAACAUAUUGUUGCCAUUGUGGCCGUAGAGGAGCACAUGAAAAUAGAAAAAUCCCCAAUUCAACUGUUCCUCUACUGUCAUAAAGCAAACAAAUGGGGAAAAAAAAAGAAACCAACAACAAAGAAGCAUGAAGCCAAACUUAAAAUGGCAUUGUUGCUCCAGGAGGUGGGGAUAUAGGAUGAACAAACAAACAUCAAAAACACUAAAUGCAAGGAGACUGACAAUGAAAAAGUGACAGCUGGCCAUGCUGAAUGUGGGAGGAAAAUGUAAGUAUUUACAAGGGCUGCUCCAAAAGUAAUGCCUCCUACUUUAUUCUCUUGGCUCACAAUGUCAGAGGCAGAUGUUGGUGCGAUGGCAGUAGAGGCUGAACAAUGUAACAUCACGUUAUAUUUUGUUGCCAUGUAGCAGAUGGCAGCAGAAGGGCCCUCGGACACAGUGAUGUGGCAAUGGGUAUGGAGAAAAGUUGUUUUGUUUUUUAAGGGGUAAUAACUGUAUCAGAGUUAUGUAUUUCUUAUGUAGUAACACAUAAUCUACUAUCAAUUUGUUUGAGAGCUGCCUUAAAUAGAAUGUAAAAGAAGGCAGUAAGUUAGGUCAGUUAGCACCUGGGACAGUAUAAUGGUCAUGGCUCAGCUGUCUCCCUUACUAGCAUAAGGUAUUUGGGGAGCUAAAUAGCCUGCUAGAGGCAACAAGAUCUGUAGUGUGGCAGUAUCUGUGGGAAGGAAAGAAGAAACCUUUCUCCUAUUUAUUUCACAAGAGCAGAAUAGUAAACCUCAUUCUUAAGAAUUUCCCAUGCCAGUUCUCUAUUCCUGCUCCACCCUGUCUUUCUAUCCACCUUUUUCAAUGGAAAGGAAUUCUAGUAUCCUCCUCUGCUAAGUAUACAGUGCCUUUCCCACUGAGAAAUACUGAGUCAUUUCUGUUCUAUUUUAAGCAAGUUCUCCUCCUCUGAAGAAAACAAUAUGCAAAGAAACUGCAUUAAUGCUACUCUAAAUCAUUGAUGUCAGCUGCUGUUUGCCAGUGAACAACUGGUGUGAGAAGCAGCUGUUAAAGGUGAAAUGCUGUCUUAGACACCUGUUAGCUGUAAUGAGAACUCUGGAACUGAAGCAACUUUGCAACUGAAGGAACCCUGGAACAUUCGUCUCAGAGCAAGUUAUAGCUGAUCACUUAAUAGCUUGAAAUUCAAACAGCGUUAAAAUAGGCAGCACAAGACAAUCGUCCUAGAUUACAGUCUCAUGUAUGGGGGGGAAAAAGGUUGAUUGGAAAUCCAUUUCAAGAAGGCUGCUAAAGAUUGCUGGAGAAGUCACCUCCCAAGCUAAAGGAAGCACAGGGCUCCCAGCUUCUCAGAGCUGGAAAGUAGAAUGAAGCCUGACUAAAGUACAUCAAGUCCCAGCUUGUUUAACUUUCUCCGCUAAUAGAACAUAAUAUACGCAUCUUUCUUUGACUCAAGGGUUUCUUUCAAAACAAGAUUAUAGACACUGGAAAAACUGACUUUGGUUCCAGCUCUUUCCUGUGAUCUGUCGAACACACCUUUCAUAAUGUAACAGUUAGAGGUCAUAUGGAGUAUAAGAAUGAAUGAAUAAGUGACACUGGAGAGAAGCUUUAGUUUUUCAGUGUCAUUUCUUGAUGUAAAAUACUCUGAUCAUAUGUAUGUGUGUUUAAUGAAAAUCUCAUGACUGAAGCUAAAAUCUUGAAUUGAUUUUUAGGAUUAAUUUUUUAAUUUUAAAUUCAUUCAGACUCUUUUCCUCCCAUCUAUACAUUCGUACCUGUUUAGAGCUUCAUUGACUUCAAAGGUGAGCAAAUUUGAGGAAAAAAAAUAUGGCUAAGUCUUUUUAAAACAAAAUAGCAGUGAAGUCUACAUAGCUGUGGAUAGAGCAAAACUCUGGAAGUUCAGACUAAAGAAUUUCUGCUCAUGUUGAAAUAUAAGAAAUUGGAUCUAGAAAACCUUUGGAAUCUUUACAGUACGUAGGUAAAUUGAACAAUAAUUUCAUUUAUCUCUUUGGAAAAACUAUCAACAACAGUAAAGUAUUGUGAGACUGCCAAGUAAAUAUCUUAGCUUUUAUAGGGCAACUUACCUAGCAGCACUUUAACUAUGACUGAUAAGCAAUGGACAUUUUUUGUAUGUAUGUCUCGUGUACUUCCCAGAAAAGGAGUAGGGACAGAACUCAAAUAAUGAAUAUCAAAACUAUAGGCAAUAGCAGUGAGAAAUUAGACUAUGGUUAAUCCGUGUAUGGAGUCAUGCUUAACACAGUCCAAUUCUGUGUCACAUCUUGAAAUGAUUUGUUCAUUGGCAGUGGGAAGGGCAAGUAAUUUACUGUCACUAAGUUUAGUGAUGCUAAUAAAAAGGUGUUGAAGCAUAACUACUCUUGGGUG
rnacentral:lncRNA from 1 species